CUCCUUAUUUAGUUUCUUUUGGCAAUAUUGUGUAGUUUUCAGGGCAUAUUUUUUCCCUCCUUGACUAAAUUAGUUUCUAACUAUUUUAUUCUUUUUGAUGCUAUGGUAAAUGGAAUUGUUUUCUUAAUUUUCUUUUUGGAUUAUUAAUUGCUAGUGUAUAGAAAUACAGCUGAUAUUUGCAUGUUGAUUUUGCAUGCUGCAAAAAAAAAAGAAAAAUGUGUAGCACUUCCCCCUUCAUGCUCUCUCCUGCUCUACCAUGUGAAGGUCUUCCUUCCCCUUCAGCCUUCUGCCAUGAUUGUAAGCUUUCUGAGGCCUCCCAACCUUGCUUCCUGUACAGCCUGUGGAACUGUGAGUUAAACAUUUUUUUUUUUUUUUUUUGUAAAUUACCCAGUCUCAGGUAGUUCUUCAUAGCACUGUGAGAACGGACUAAUCCUUUCUCCCCCCUUCCCCUUCCCCAUACUCUUCCCCUUCCUCUUUCCUUUUCCUUUCCCUUUUCCUUUUCCUUUCCUUUCGUUUUUUUCUUUUCUCUCCCCAGAUUGCUUUGGCUAGAACUUCUACUACUGUGUCAAAAGCAGGAGGCAUUUUUGCCUUGUUCCUGAGCAUAGAGAAAGACUUUCAGUUUGUUAUCAUUGAAAAUCAUGUUUUUUUUCUCAUUCAUUCUGUUAAUGUGGUGUCUUGCAUUAAUUGAUUUUUAUACGUUGACCCAUCCUUGCAUUUCAUUAAUAAAUUCCACUUGGCAUGGUAUAUGAUGCAUUUAACAUGCUGUUGGAGUUAGUUUGCUAGUAUUUUGUUCAAGAUUUUUGCAUCAAUAUUCAUCAGUGAUACUGGUCUGCUUUUUUUUUUUCUUGUAGUGUUUUUGUCUGAUUUUGGUAUUGGGUAAUGUUGCCUUUACAGAAUGAUUUAAAAAUGUUUCUU
rnacentral:lncRNA from 1 species